rnacentral:lncRNA from 1 species
GAGAAAAUAAUGUUGUCUUUAACAAAUUUAAAUACUGAAUAAUCCCAUAGUCAUCCCAAAACCCGGUGUCAUAAGUGCAUGAGCAAUUUCUAGGAAAUAAAAUGUAUUACAAUAACUGUCAGGAAUACAAAUUGGACAGAAAAGGAAGUACAAUACUUUGAAGGAGACCCUGCUAGUUGCGGGUCAUCUCGAGAGAUAAAACUCACCUAAGUAUCUGUAUCAACCAUGCCGUUGCGCCCAAUGACGCCGCUAGACAUACAUGUGCCUGUGCAACAAAAAUGCACAUCAAGUGUAGUAUGAAUCCGAAAACAACGCAUACCCAGUAAAUGUCCAGUUUAACCUCGAAGAAGUAGUAACGAGAGGUCGACUUCAACACUUACUAGUGGUCCAAUAAUAUAAUCAGUCGUGGAUUUAUUAAAAACAGCAGUAAACUCAAGGGAAUCAUGUAGCAAGUAAACAAUCAUUUUGAUAAUAAGAGAUUUCCAAAUUCAUAUUUCCUCAAUUAUCAAUUUAUCUCAGGCCGUGAUGGCAAUAUCAUUAUUUAUAAUUUCAAGGCAAGCAAUACAAGCAUGCACAAAUCAUGCCGAGGUAUACGACCCGAUCUAACAUAAUAUUUAAACUAUGUACUGCCAAAAGGUUGAAUGGGUCAAACCAUAGAUGAAUCUAUUAUCCCGCUUGCAAAUCAUACAUGCGACGCGGUCAAAUAUAAAUAAAUACAUCAAACAGUCAAUCAAUAAUUCAUUAGGGAAACAAUUACCCAAAGAAAUGGCAACUUCACUUUAACGGUCAAGCAAAUGAUGUUUAAGUUCUUUAGAAAUUCAUUUACCAAUUCGAUAUGAUUUAAGAAAUUUAAAUUGUUAAUAAGGUUACAAAUAUUUUAAGUAUAACAUGCUUUCAGGUCCUAGACUACCCGGACUUAAGCAUAUAGUAGCGACGCACGGACUCUCGUCACCUCGUGCAUACGUAGACCCCACAAAUAGAAGCACAUAUUUAAUUAUUUCACCUAUGUGAUAGUUCCCUCUUACAAGAUUAGAAAGGAGACUUACCUCACUCCGAAAUUUCCAUAACCGGCUUCCAAGCCUUUCCGAUGACUCAAACUGAUGCCCAACACUCCAAAACUAGCAAAAUAAUGGACAAACCAAUGAAAUUAUACCCUAAUACUUAUAACAAUUCAAUUUAUAUAAAUUCCCAACUCCGCUCAAAAAGACAAAAUUGCCCUCAAGCCCACUUGCUCGGAUUCCGAAAAUUUUCGAAGAUAAAGUUUACCCAUAACCUCACGAGCUCAAAUAUAUAAUUGACUCUCAAUUUCAUGCCCCAAAUUCGUGGUAAAAAUCCAAAAUAUUAAUUUCUAGGCCUUCUACCAAAAAUUCACAAAUUCUACUAAUUUCCAUUCCCAAAUCCAUAUAUAAUCCAAGUAUUUAACUCAAAACUAGUAGAAACCACUUACCUCAUGCUUGGUGAUGAAAAUGAUGCUCCAAAAUCGCUCCCAUGGAAGAAAUGGGAUUGAAAUGAGCCCAACCCCCGUCUUUUAAAAGACACUGCCCAAACGCCCAUUCUUCGCGAUCGCGAAGGCUAAAAAGGAAGCCUUCAAAAUUUUCCUCUACGCGUUCGCGAACCUUUGACCACUACCCCCUUCGCAUUCGUGUUCCAGCAGUCGCGUUCGCGAAGGCCAACCGCUCCAAGCCCCGCUUACUCUUCCUCUUACGCAUUCGCGACCCCUAUAUCGUGUUCAUGAAGGCUAGAUUCCAUCAGCCUCCAAAUUCCUCUUCACGAACGCGGGACUCUCUUCGCGUUCGCGUAGUAGGACACCAGAUAGCAGCAACAACAACAACAAUUCCUCCCAAUUUGGUCCAAAACCACCCCGAAACACACCCGGGGUCCCCCGGGACCCUGUCCAAUCACACCAACCAGUCCCAUAGCAUAACGAGGACCUGCUCGAGGCCUCAAAUUGCAUCAAACAACACCGAAAUCCCGUAUCACACCCCAAUUCAAGCUUUAUGAACUUUAGUACUUCAACUUCAACAUUCGUUGCCGAAAGCUAUCAAAUCUCGUCCGAUUGAUCUCAAAUUUUGCACACAAGUCAUAUUCGACAUUACGGACCUACUCCAACUUCCAGAAUCAGAAUCCGACCCCGAUAUCAAUAAAUUCACUUCCGGUUAAACUUCUCAAAAACCUACAAAUUUCUAACUUUAGUCAAAUGACUCCAAAAUGUCCUACGGACCUCCGAAUCCACUUCCGGACGCGCCCCCAAUACCAGAAUCACUAUACAGAGCUAUUCCCGGGCUUGAAAUCCCAAAUAGACACUGAUAACACUGAAAUGCACUUCAACCCAAAUUUAUGAAAUUCUUCCAAAAAUGCUAACUUUCGCUAUAGGCGUCGGAUCACUCCCGGGUCAUCCAAAAUCCGAUCCGUACAUAUGCCGAAGUCCAAAAUCAUCAUACGAACCUGUUGGAACCUUCAAACCCCGAGGUCGUUUACUCAAAAAUCAAACCUUAGUCAAUUCUUUCAACUUAAAGCUUCUGAAAUGAGAAUUUUCUUUCCAAAUCAACUCCGAACUUCCCGAAAUUUAAUUCUGACCACGCGUACAAGUCAUAAUACCUGAAGUGAAGCUGCUAAUGGCCUCAACUCGCUAAACGACGUGCUAGAGCUCAAAACGACCGGUCGGGUCAAUACAAAAUCAACGUAUUUUAAUCUACUAUAGCAUGUUUAUCCCUUUUAUUUUUCGGAAUAAUUCACAAAAAUAAGCCAAAAUACAUUACAUUAUUUGUAAAAUCAUGUUGAGUAGAUAUGUAUACCACAGGACUCAGAAUACUUUCGUAUUUAACAAAAGAGAAAAUACUUUUGUGUUUCUAUUAACGAUAUAAAUUUAAUAAUCUCUAUUAAAUUAUAACUAUUAAAUAGUUAACUCUUAUGGCUCAAAACAGCAAAUGAUGAAAUAGGCUUUUACAAUUCUGUAAGUUUUUUUUUUCAUAGUCUUGAUAGACGUUUAGAAGUUGCAACGGGUCUUAAUUUAUUUCUUUAUUACUAUACGUUUACAUUUAGUACAGUAUUGCUUAUGUCCGAAGAGUUUAGCGUGAAAAUUAAUAAAAACGACUGCUACGUUUUGUCAAUUAUAUUAACUAGUCAAUUGGGAUAAAUUUGCAAACCAUUCACACAUGCACAUGCUAGGUAGGGAUUAUUUUUCUAGUUCACAAUACUUGAUAUCAAUUUCCUUAAGUGAUUUUGUCUUUGAAUAUGUAAUGACACUAUUUACCCUUAAAAUCGGAUAAUAAUUAAAUUUGUAAGUGAUUUUAAGGAUAUAAGGAUUAAUUUGACACAAAGCAAUAAAUUGGAUUAGAUUAAACAAGUAAAGAUAAAAAUAAAUUUAAACCACACGCAUGGGAUAGUUUCAGCCUUAGUGAAAUAUUCACCCUCGAUCCAAGCUCACUGUAGUCAACAUUGAUGAAUAAGAAAAGAGCUAAUAACAGAGAAAAAUGAUAAUAUAUUGUCUUGGAAUGCUUGAUACAAUGUGUGUAAUGAAUCAUCAGUCCCUCUUUAUAUAGUAGGAGAGUCUCACUCUAGGUACAAUUCUUAUAAAAGGUAAAAAUCUUCUAAUUAACUGAUUGUUGAUUCCCUAUCGAUAAGUGCCAAGAUCCACGCCGUGAUACCCGUCCGAUCACAGAUAUCACAACUUUCUGUUGGCCGUGCUUGGCUACCUGACAACGUCCUUCGCAGUUAUUCAAAGCUAGGACUGGUCCCAAACCAUGACCCCGAUAUUUUUGAGGAUGGGCGUUAUGCCCCCCGGACUCCGACUUGAUGAGAACUUCGCCUCAAUUUCGGCCCCUUGCCAUCAUGUCUCGAGCUUGACUUAUCACGUCGGGAACUUGGGUGUAUCACGAUCCGGUUUCACCUAUAUACAAAUAGUCCCCUGGUUUCUCUGAGAGUACACGACGAGAAACGACAUGAGCUCCUAUUUCCUACUUCGAUACAUCGUGACAGAAAUGAGAAAACAUUCGAAACGUCUCGUCAGUCACGUCACAAUGGCAUUAAAUUCAUAUAAGCCGCCCAUCGGGUAUCUCAGAAAGCGAAACAUCACCGAGUUCCUAUAAAUACCACCUCCUUUGUUUAUUUUUACUUUACAUCAAACCUUCUACCCUCUUAUUCCUAGGAUAUCAAUAUUCUUUAGCACUUUUACCCCCGUUAUUCAAGGUCCUUUGCAAAAAAUAGUACUCAUCUUCUUCUCAAUCCAACAAAUCCAAUCCUUCAACUUCCUUUCUUUGCUUAUCUUUUCCAGAUUUUCCUCUAUUUUUACUCUCUAAAAUAAUGACAAAGACUUUCAAAACCGUUUCCCAGAAAGAAGUUCCUUCUACUUCACGGUGUCAUGACCCAAAUCGAUGGGCCACGACGGGUGCUCGAGUCCUACCUGUCGAACAUCCUUAAGCAUGCAUCUAAGAUAAGAAGAGAGGAUAACAUCCUAUAUGUCCUGUAGACUCAUGUCUAUAAGUAUGGUGCACAACACACCCAUAAACAAGACUCUAUUAGACACGGUCUGUGGAUAACCCUAGGACAGACCUACUCUGAUACCACUUUAUGGGAAUGAAUAACAUAAACAUCUUUAACUGCUAAGAGUAGAAAAACUUAUGGAAUAUCAUUACGUUUACGUAUCAUUACUUGGAUCAUGCCAAAAGAAAAAAAAAUUAGCCUUAACAUACCUGAGUCGAUUCUCUUGACAAUACCUCUAACAUACGUUAGACGAAAGACAUAAUGGCGAGAUCGAAAUAGGGAACAAUCCAUAGAAAUGCUCAAAACAAUAACUUUGCUAUUGCAAAAUCCUCUUUUUUCAAACUCUUUCUCAAGGGAAUUAGCAUUAAUGUUAUGUAUGGAAUGCUUGCUGAAACUCUUCUUAGGAGAUUAGAGUUCACGUUACAUAAAAUGGAAAGCUUUGGCUGAAACUUUUCCUUAAGUAACUAUGAAAUGGGAAGCUUGAAUGACUUUUAGAAAAUGACGUUACUAAUGUUAUGGAAACUUUUGUUGAAAUUCUUUUCAUAAGAUAUUAUAGUUGUUAUUCUUACCUUUUUAGGUGGCCCCACAUAAUUAAGCUUGGUAUCACAAUUCAUUCUCAAAGUGUGACACUUUGCAACCGUUAAUACUUAGUCAUUAAAUGGAAAGGGAUGAUUGCCAUGUUAGGGGGAGGGGUUAAAUCUUAUCCCACUCUUUAAUUCGUUUACCCUUUAUCCUUCAUGACAUUUACUUAUUGCUUUUUAUAAUUAGCAUAAAUACAUAUAACCUCAAUAUAAUCUCGUCCCCGAAUCUACAUUGAUUAACUUACGAUAAUACUUUAACAUACGAAAAUGCGAGAUGUAACACGCGGCCGGUCACUGAGGUCUAAGAGACCGCUCCGGGCAUGGCGGUUGAUGAACGAGUACCCGAACCUCCCCUAAAAUGUUCAUCCCCGGGGGGACGCUCGGUCAAUGAUGAUUUCAGAAUUGAAAAGCCUUCCUCUGUACAGGGUCGGUGUAAGGAGGUCUCAAGAUACAUCUUCUCAAUUACUAAAGAGGUCCUGCCUACGGUCCGAAAAGAUUGAAACUGGGUCGAUAAAAACAUAGUGGUACAUGACCCCGAGAAGGCCAUUACCACACAUGUCGAGGGAUAUCUGAGUGUUUACACUUAUCCCUUUACAUUGGGACCAGUGGACUCGGUCAUUAUAGAUUUCUAUGAGAGAUACGAUGUAUGCCUCGAUCAGAUUCAUCCUUCAAUAUAGAGGAUCGUGAUCCUCCUGCGGCUUUUGUUGACAAAGUCGACUCAUGAUGUUUUACUGUGGAUCAUCUAUUCCAUUUGUACAGUCCCUGAAUAUUCCAAAGGGGCUGAUAAAGCUAGUGCGCCGGGUCAGGAAGGCCCCAUUCUCAAGUAUCGAUGAUCACCGGGAUUGAGGCUAGCAAGGCCUUUUUGUCCAAAUGAGGACUCCAAACUUGAUUAUGACUUAAUGCGGGCUAUUCCUCGAGAAGUGGAAUACGUCACAUAAGUAGAACUUUCCUUUGACUGUUGAUUUUAUGUUUUACUUCCCUUUUCCUUAUCGGUACUCAUGGUGAUGCAGCCGUCACUCGAGUCCCAAAUAUUGUCCCGCGACUCAAGGAGUGAGUCGAAGGUAUCAUUUCACAUAUGCCAUACUCUGAGCUCUCAUGGCACAAAAUUUCGAAGGGUCAUUGGGAGGCCCGUUCUCAUGGUAAGAUUCCCUUCUUAAAUAGGUUGUGUCAGGCCUUUUCUUUUAAUAACAAGUCCUUAUUUCCUUUACUUUCUUUCACAGGUUUGCCUAAGAACGUCGAUCUUAGGCCUCUAGUUGGUGGCGAGGACUUGCCUGUUAAGUCUCCUGCUCUAAGGUGGACCGAAGAGAAGAAAAGAAAGAGUACUCCGAGUUCCCCGAGCUCAAAGAAAAAGAAAACACGAAGAAGGCUGGUGCAUAAGACAAAGGAGAGCACCAGCCCCUGAGUGCUCGACUCGGACUCACUCCUCUAGCUCAGGGACGAGCCCGAGGAGGACGAUCUUUUUCUAGCCCAUGAGCAGUCUAUGCUCGAGGAACGGAUGACAGCUGAUGGGGAAACAACGGAGGCCAAUCCCUCUCAAGUUCAAGAGGCUAAUGCAGCAGUGAGGGUCGAGAACCCUCGAGAUGCUAGUUGACAUAACGAAAUCACCUUCAUUCACAGAAUCGAUAUUCGGUAAAGCUCAAGCACCAAAGGAGCAAUCGAAUAAGGGGUUCUAUGGAGCGAACGAUCCCUUUCAAAGAUUUUUCGAUGGCGUGGGCUCCAUUGCCAUGGAGGACGCCACCAGAUUAGGUGAAUUAGAAGUACCGAGGAAAAGUUUGUCUUCGGGGGAAAGUGGAUCUAAAUCAAGCCCGAGACUGGUCAACUGGUUCCCUACCCCAAGUGUGGAUCUUGGUCGGAAGUGGUCAAUUAUCAUCACCAUUUUGAAGGAUGCCCGGGUUCUUUCCACACUCGUUGGGGUAGCUAGUUAUCUCCGGUGCCUGGUAACCGAAGAAGACCAGGCAAAAAUGAACGAGUUGGAUUAUUCAUGCCUCUUCAACGAGGCACAACAUGCAUUGAACCGGGUAAGGUUUUACCAAACCUUUUAAUUUUUCAACCUUGGUUAUUGGUUAUCCUAAUAUUUCUUCUAAUAUUUGCAGGCCUUAGUGCUUCACCACGAUACCUUCCUUCGGUAUUGAGAUGAGCUGAGCCAAUUCGAGGCCGAAGUCAACGAGCUCGUUGAGAAGAGAGACAUGUACAAACUUCUCAGUGAGACAAGUGAAGGAGAGGCUAAGAGCCUUCGAGCCGAGUUGGACGUGUCUCGGAAAGAACACGUCGACCUGGUGGAAUAGGUAAAAUCUUUGAAGUUAGUGAUGAUGAGCUAGACAUGGUGACUAAUAGUCAAAACCCAUAGGUCCAAAUGAAGAUGGAUCGGAUCGACUAGCUCGGGGCCAAGAUGGAUGUAAUCAAGGUCAAUGAUGAAGAGUGGAAAGGAAAAAUGGACCUCUUGGCCUUGAAAAAGGAAACUCCCUGGGUGAAAUUGGCCUCGACAAAGGCUCAACUUAGAGCGAUGAGGGAGUAGGCUAAGGCACAGUCCCAAAAAAUUGAGGAGCUCAAGUCUUAACUAUCUCGGUUGUUGCCAAUCGGGAGACCCUCGCCAAGGAACAUAAAGCUGCCAAGUUGGUGGAUGAAAUAACUAAGUCUGAUGUCGAUGAGAUGGUGGCCCAGUAUAGAGCCGAUGCCGAGGUAGCCCAAGACCUCUUGAAAGACAUUGUUGAGAAUAAGAAGCGGCAUCCCCGAAGGGAGGCCCUCGAGGAGGUUCAUGCUCGGGAUUUUGAUUUAUCGACCGAGAUCAAAAGUGCUAAGGGGCUUGAGGCCGAGGCCAAGAAGUUGGCUUACCCCGAGGAUGAAAAAGACUUCGAGGGUCCAGGCAGAUCUAGGUGUAGAGAAGACCCUGAUGGUCCCGAUAAUGAGGCGGACUCCGGUGAGGACCAGGCUGCUUAGCUGCCUUGCAGAUGUUUUUGAUUUUUUGUUUUUUUGUCGAGAGUGUUUGGCCUUUGAAAAAUUUCUUGUCGAGGCAGUUUGGCCUUUGUAAAAAUCUUUUAAUAUAAUACAAGGUUUUCUUCCUUCAAUAAAUUUCAAACUUUUUCUUUACGAUUGAAAAGAUAUCAAAUGCCUUAGCACGUAAUAACUAUGUCUUAUUCGGACGUUCGAACAUGCCUCGUUCCUGAUAUUAUUUUGCUUAAGACUUGUGGGGGGCUCGGUACAACCAAAAGCUUUUCCCCAAAGUACUUAGAAUAUUUUAGAUUACAAUUUUGUCGAGGGUAGCCUUUUGAACUGGUUUAGAAAUUUUGAAGGCCUUAUGUUUUGGUUAUGGGUGUCGGACACCUCAGAACUGUUCUAGGAUAGUCGUAGCCUUUUUUCGUUCGGGUGUUUCCCAAUGGGCUUGUUACCCCAAGUCAUCUGGGCUUACUUUUGACAACCGUCCCCAAACGGGGAUGGCCGUAGCCUUUAAAGUACGGGCACUGCAUGAUAGGCUUUGUGUCCCCGGGCCUUGAUAUACCGCGUCGUUCAAGCCUACUUUGGACGACAGUCCCCGAGUGAGGUGGCUUUUGGGCUCGAUGUCUUUAGGGGACCAAAUGUAAGAAAGAAAACAACAAAAAAUUUAAGGGACAAAAUAUUUAUCCGUAAGGUAGAAACUUCCUUUCAUUUUUAUGCGUAAUGUACAAGGUUACACAUGUGUACAAGUUUUGUGUCACGUCUCAGGUGGUCUAUGUGGGCACAGUUCAUUUGACCGUUUGGCCCUUACAGUAAAUCCUAUCGACCGCGCCUAGACUGUUUGAUCACAAAUUUUCUUUCCUUGCUAAAAUUAUUCUCCAAGGGUGAUUCCCCCAGUAUUCGAGGCCUAUCAUAGAGAAGCCUCGGGUACUGUUGAUGCGAUUCUUGGCACUGAUUCAUAUCCGGUAUUCAAUUCUAAGUUAGCACGAUCUGUCGCUGCAUUAUUAAAAACCUUGUCGUAAAAUUCAUUUGGGACAAACCAGUUCAAGAAAAAAAGAGUGCAACACGUGCUUUCAGGCCUAAAAGUUGCAUCGUUUCUUGAAUAUUACCUGUAAAUGUUAGUUCAAUAAAUAAAUAAAAUAAAUGAAUGGGAUCAUACCUUAGCAUUGAUAUCGUUUCAAGUGAGCUACGUUCCAGUUGUUCGGUAGUUGCUCACCGUUCAUUGCUUCGAGUUUGUACGAUCUUUUUCCGGUUAUCUCGAUAAUUUGAUACGGACCUUCCCAGUUCAGUCCUAGCUUCCUUUCGUUUGGGUUCCGAGUGGUUAGUGUGACCUUCCUUAACACCAAGUCCCCGACAUUGAAGUGUCGAAGGUUGGCUCUUCGAUUGUAAUACCUUUCGAUCUGUUGUUUUUGGGCGGCCAACCAGACGAGGGCGCACUCGCGCCAUUCAUCUAAUAGUUUCAGGCUCGUAUUCAUGUCCUCGUCGUUCGACUCUUCGGUCGCAUAUCGGAAUUUGAGACACGGUUCUCCUACUUUGAACGGUAUUAGAGCUUCGGCAUCAUAAACCAAUGUGAACGGGGUGGCCCUGGUACUGGACUUCAAGGUCGUAUGGUAUGCCCAUAGGACUUCAGCAAGAUUUCUUUCCAUUUUCCUUUGGCUUCGGUCAAUAUGUUUUUGAGAUUUUGGAGUCUGGUUUUGUUUGUGGACUCCCCUUGCCCAUUCCCACUAGGGUGGUAGGAUGUUGAUAGGAUCCUUUUGAUCUUAUGGUCUUCGAAAAACUUACUUACUUUGCUAUCAAUGAACUGCUUCCCAUUGUCGCACAUGAUCUUGGCCGACAUUUCGAACCGGCAUAUUAUGUGGUCCCAGAUGAAAUCAAUGACUUCCUUCUCCCUGAAUUUCUCAAAUGCAUGGGCUUCCACCCAUUUAGAAAAAUAGUCAGUUAUAAACAAUAUAAAUUGAGCCUUACCGGGUGCCCAUGGAAGGAGGCCGACGAUGUCUAUCCCCUAUUUCAUUAACAGCCAGGGUGACAAGAUCGAAUGCAACAGCUCCCCGAGCUGAUGAAUCAUUGGAGCAUGCCUUUGACAUCCAUCACAUUUUCGUACGAACUCUUUCGCACCUUUUUCCAUGUCAAUCUAGUAGUAGCCAGCUCUAAUUAUUUUCCGAACCAAUGAUUCGGCGCCCGAAUGAUUUCCGCAUGUGCCUUCGUGGACUUCCCUCAGAACAUACUCGGUAUCUCCUGGUCCUGGACAUAUUGCAAGUGGGCUAUCUAACAUUCUCCAAAAUAGGGUACCGUCUUUGGACAAGCUGAACCGGGCCACCUUCGUACGUAGAGCCCUUGAUUCCUUGGGAUCCGAGGGCAGUGUUCCGGUAUCCAGGUACUCUAUAUGCUUGUUUCUCCAGUCCCAAGUUAGGCUUGUUGAGUUUAUCUUGGCAUGACCUUCUUCCACUAUCUAUCUCAUGAGAUGUACGACCGCCCCCGAGUUAAAAUCGUCGUUAACCGACGAUCCCAAGUUAGCAAGAGCAUCAGCCUCACUGUUUUGAUCCUGAAGCACAUGUUGUAAGGUACACACCUUGAACCGAUGUAAUCCAGGUAUCUGUUCAUUCGUUCCUCCCAGACUUCAAACAUCUCAUUAACUUAGUUCACCACAAGGAGGGUGUCAUGCUUAGCUUCGAUCACCUCUGCCCCCAAACGUUUGACCAGUUCGAGACUUGCAAUCAUGGCCUCAUACUCAGCCUCGUUGUUAGUCAAUUUUACAGUCCUGAUAGAUUAUCUAACUACACUAGAUGUUGGUGUCUUCAAUACUAUGCCAAGUCCGGAUCCCUUUGCGCUUGAGGAACCGUCCGUAAAGAGGGUCCAGAUUCCCGAAGAAGUCCCCGAGUUCAAAAACAACUCUCUUUUGACCUCGGUUAUCAAGGCCGACGUAAAGUCGGCCAUGAAGUCUGCCAAAAUUUGAGACUUAAUGGCGGUCUGGGGUCGAUACUCGAUAUCCUACCCACUGAUCUCCAUGGCCCAUUUGUCCAAGCGCCCCGAGAUGUUGGGUUUAUGCAUUAUGUUUCUCGGUGGGUAAUAUCACACCUCUUUUUUACUACCCCGGAAGGGUAUAAGUGAGUUUUUUCCAAUUUAAGUGACAAUCGAAAUGGGAUUUAUUUAUUUAUUUAGAGUCGCCACUUGAGAUAAUUUAUGGUGUCCCAAUUCACUAGUUUAGAAUCCCGAAUCGAGGAAUAUUUGGCUCUAAUUAUGGUCUGCGAACACAGAAAUCCGGGUAAGAAAUUCUGUUAACCCGAGAGAAGGUGUUAGGCAUUCCCGGGUUUCGUGGUUUUAGCACGGUCGCUCAACUGUUAUUAUUGGCCUAUUUAUUUGAUCUUUUACACGUUUUAAACCUAUUGUGUAUUUUUAACCUUUUAGCCACUUUUAUUUAUUUAAAGAAUCAAUUCAAGGUUACCUAAAACAUAUCGCGAGCUACGCUACAUGAAAUGCACCCGUGGUUCACAACACGUUCUAUUUAACCUUGUUGGAAAUUAGAACCGGGUCACAUGAAAUGUACCCCCAGGUUUUAGUAAUAGGUGUGAUAAUUAUAUAAUUGACGUGCCUAAAGCAACUACGAAGUUCAUUUUUAAUAUCUAAAUUAACAUUUGUGAGGGCCAUAGAUAAUUUAAUUUGCUUAUGGCAUACCUCAAAUCUAUUUCCUCAAGUACUGAUCAAAUGGAAUUGUCCCGUCAACAAAUUUGCUAAUAAAUGACAAUGAACAAUGGUGGCAUAUCUUCAACAGCAAUUAAGGCAUCGUUUGUCAUUAGUUUUUUUUUUGAAUUCCAAAGAAACUCCAAAAAAUCUUCCUUGGCAUGUGAACAUACUAAUGCGAAUUGAUAUGGAACCAUCAGUACAUUUUCUUCCCUUUUUUUCUUAGUCAAGCCUAAUUAAAAGGCUAAUGAUCCAACAAUGAUCCCAAAACUAACCGGUAGAGAACAUGAAAGCAACGUGAAUUCCAACUCAUGCGAACAUACUAACAAUCUCAAGCACACACACAACAAAGACUUCAUACCAUAAAAAAUUGAUAUACAAGAUUGAAGAGAAAGAUAAGAGUGAGAAACGGACCUCCAAAAUUAAUAUGAUUCUGUUUGUUUUGAAGCUUGACAAUGCACAGGACCGCGACCAGGCCUCGACAAGCGAAAGAUUGACCGAAACUCGUGGGAGAAACUCGAAUCUCACCGAUGACUCGAACUCUACUCGACCCGAAGAACAAUGAAUCUCAAAGAGCUGAUCGAAAGUGAAGUUUGAUGCGUUUUCGGGGUUGCGGCGGGGCUGAUUUGAGCCGAAUUUUCAUACGAUUUUUUUGAAGUUGUUUUCAGCUGGUUCUUGUAGAGAGAGGGACAGCGAUUUAAAGGUGAGCUCGUGGUUGUGCUUGUUCGAGGACGGAGUGGCUGGCCGUUGGAGGAGGGCAGCGGCGGUAGGGGGCUGGUUUUUUGGUGGUCGUUGUUUUGUCCUCAGCCGAUGCUCCUUUCAGCUCUUUUGGUCCCUAUCGGCGUUAGCUCUGGGCCUUUUCUGAAGAAGAUGAAGAAUAGUGGGGUGGGUUCUUUUCCUUGGUGUAGCGGCACUGAUCUCUUUUACUCUCUAGGUCUCUUAUGCUCUAGAGUGUUAUCGGUUGCUGCUGAUACUUUUAGCUCCUCUAGAAUUAUUGUUAGGUCUUCAAGGUUUUUCGGUUAGCUUCCUCAAAAAGAUGAUAUCGUGAGGGGUUCUUAUUUUGAGAAAACGGCGGAUUUGUCAUAGGGUCUAGGUCUGAUUUUUUUUGUUGCAUUUUCAGC